UCAACGCCGGUGUCACACGAUCAGCUGACAAACAAUUGAAACGUCAGUCUGUAAAUCGUAAUAUAAACAAGAUGAAAUUUAGGGAAAAAUCAACUAUAAUCAGACCCAACAUUCCCACUUGUUGCGUUGAAAACAGACAAAAGAUAAUCACAUCAAGUCUAUGUUCAGGAAUCCUCCGAAGAAA